UUUAUGGAGAGUUUGAUCCUGGCUCAGGAUGAACGCUGGCGGCGUGCCUAAUACAUGCAAGUCGAGCGAACAGAUAAGGAGCUUGCUCCUUUGACGUUAGCGGCGGACGGGUGAGUAACACGUGGGUAACCUACCUAUAAGACUGGAAUAACUCCGGGAAACCGGGGCUAAUGCCGGAUAACAUGUUGAACCGCAUGGUUCUACAGUGAAAGACGGUCUUGCUGUCACUUAUAGAUGGACCCGCGCCGUAUUAGCUAGUUGGUGGGGUAACGGCCUACCAAGGCGACGAUACGUAGCCGACCUGAGAGGGUGAUCGGCCACACUGGAACUGAGACACGGUCCAGACUCCGGAGGCAGUAGGGAAUCUUCCGCAAUGGGCGAAAGCCUGACGAGCAACGCCGCGUGAGUGAUGAAGGUCUUCGGAUCGUAAAGCUCUGUUGUUAGGGAAGAACAAAUGUGUAAGUAACUGUGCACAUCUUGACGGUACCUAACCAGAAAGCCACGGCUAACUACGUGCCAGCAGCCGCGGUAAUACGUAGGUGGCAAGCGUUAUCCGGAAUUAUUGGGCGUAAAGCGCGCGUAGGCGGUUUUUUAAGUCUGAUGUGAAAGCCCACGGCUCAACCGUGGAGGGUCAUUGGAAACUGGAAAACUUGAGUGCAGAAGAGGAAAGUGGAAUUCCAUGUGUAGCGGUGAAAUGCGCAGAGAUAUGGAGGAACACCAGUGGCGAAGGCGGCUUUCUGGUCUGCAACUGACGCUGAUGUGCGAAAGCGUGGGGAUCAAACAGGAUUAGAUACCCUGGUAGUCCACGCCGUAAACGAUGAGUGCUAAGUGUUAGGGGGUUUCCGCCCCUUAGUGCUGCAGCUAACGCAUUAAGCACUCCGCCUGGGAGUACGGUCGCAAGACUGAAACUCAAAGGAAUUGACGGGGACCCGCACAAGCGGUGGAGCAUGUGGUUUAAUUCGAAGCAACGCGAAGAACCUUACCAAAUCUUGACAUCCUUUGACCGCUCUAGAGAUAGAGUUUUCCUCUUCGGAGGACAAAGUGACAGGUGGUGCAUGGUUGUCGUCAGCUCGUGUCGUGAGAUGUUGGGUUAAGUCCCGCAACGAGCGCAACCCUUGAACUUAGUUGCCAUCAUUCAGUUGGGCACUCUAAGAGAUCGGAAGAGCGAACCGGAGGAAGGUGGGAUGACGUCAAAUCAUCAGCCCCUUAUGAUUUGGGCUACACACGUGCUACAAUGGACAAUACAAAGGGCAGCGAAACCGCGAGGUCAAGCAAAUCCCAUAAAGUUGUUCUCAGUUCGGAUUGUAGUCUGCAACUCGACUACAUGAAGCUGGAAUCGCUAGUAAUCGUAGAUCAGCAUGCUACGGUGAAUACGUUCCCGGGUCUUGUACACAGACCGUCACACCACGAGUUUGUAACACCCGAAGCCGGUGGAGUAACCAUUUGGAGCUAGCCGUCGAAGGUGGGACAAAUGAUUGGGGUGAAGUCGUAACAAGGUAGCCGUAUCGGAAGGUGCGGCUGGAUCACCUCCUUUCU
rnacentral:rRNA from 1 species